AUUGAACGCUGGCGGCAGGCCUAACACAUGCAAGUCGAACGAGUGGCGGACGGGUGAGUAAUGUCUGGGAAACUGCCCGAUGGCGGGGGAUAACUACUGGAAACGGUAGCUAAUACCGCAUACCAUCGGAUGUGCCCAGAUGGGAUUAGCUAGUAGGUGGGGUAAUGGCUCACCUGGGCGACGAUCCCUAGCUGGUCUGAGAGGAUGACCAGCCACAUUGGAACGGAGACACGGUCCAGACUCCUACGGGAGGCAGCAGUGGGGAAUAUUGCACAAUGGGCGAAAGCCUGAUGCAGCCAUGCCGCGUGUAUGAAGAAGGCCUUCGGGGUGUAAAGUACUUUCAGCGAGGAGGCGUUACUCGCAGAAGAAGCAGCGGCUAACACCGUGCCAGCAGCCGCGGUAAUAC
rnacentral:rRNA from 1 species